CGGGACUGGUGAGUAACGCGUGAGGAACCUGCCUUUCGAGGGGGACAACAGUUGGAAACGACUGCUAAUACCGCAUGAUGUAUCGGGAUCGCAUGGUCUUGAUACCAAAGAUUUUAUCGCCGAAAGAUGGCCUCGCGUCUGAUUAGCUAGUUGGUGGGGUAACGGCCUACCAAGGCGACGAUCAGUAGCCGGACUGAGAGGUUGGCCGGCCACAUUGGGACUGAGAUACGGCCCAGACUCCUACGGGAGGCAGCAG
rnacentral:rRNA from 1 species